ensembl:lincRNA Gm11674 predicted gene 11674
AUUCUGCUGCUUGCUCUUUGGACAGACAUCUAGGAUGUUUCAUUCUGUGUCUACCAAAGGAAACCACUCAUGAGUCUUCAUUAAUUUUUGUUUUAGAACCAACAUAUUUCUAUAAAUCUUGAAAAAUAUUUGGGUACUAAAUUACAAACAAAGAGACUACUUUUGAAGGAAGUUUAGGAAGUACCCAGUCGUGAUAUAAAGACUGGCAAAUGGCGUGCUGCCGUGUUCUAGAAGUCAUGAUGGUUAUCAAACGGAACAGUCAUGGAGUCACAGUGUCCAGCCUGACAGAGCCUUACCGCCAAGCCAAGAACAGAAGCCAUGAAUGCCUUUGGGUCCACUGGGAAGAGUUCAUGCUGAAACUCCUACACAAAUCAAGUCUAUGAAAGAAACCCAAGCCUUAGAAAAUGGAAAUAGGCAGAACUCCAUCUACCAACGCGAGGAGAGACAGGAAACUGUCUGUCUGUCUCGGUCUGGGUGUGGAAAAAGUUUUUCCCAAGAGAAAUUAACAUCAUACCCAUUAAUAAAUUAAAAAAAAAUGCUUCCUGGAGAAAAAAAUGGGUCUAGUAAAAAUUUCUCAGCAUAUAUCAGUAAUCAACCACAAAUAAAACAAUAAAAUAAAAUAGCAGUAUGUACUUAUAAUAAGAGAGAAAAUGGGGAAGAUUGAUGUUUCUCAAUGACGUUAUAAAGGAGGAUGGUGGGCAUGCUCACUGGUUAGCAGCAGGAGGGCAGACUGGUGCAGUUAAUUUGGACAUCACUCUUAACGUUAUCUUGCAAGACUAAUAUUCUUAUCAUAAGACUCAGCGAUCAUCCUUGUUAUUAACUACACAGGAUGACAAGUGUGUCACAGCAUACAUCUGUGGUAUUACAGCAGCCUUUGCUCUUGCCUAUCAUUGAAAACAGUGAAGAUUCCUUUCUACUGGUCAAAGAACAAGCAAACUGGGCCAUAUACUUGCAACAGAAUAGUAUCCGUCAAUAAAAAUAAUAACCUAUCAUAGUUCAGGAGACUAGUUCUGAUGGGCAUUCUGUGACUUUCGGCUACGAUUGCUAAUUUUAAAUAUUGUCCUAACUAUGUUAUGGUGUUGAGAUGUCUGCUCAAACAGCAGUAGACUAGUACUAAGAAAAAAAUUUUUAGAUGUGGUUUACAUUUAAACUGAUUAAAUUUGAGCAAAGCAUAUUAGUUUCCACGAUGUGAUAGGGUUUCAUCAGGCCAAUUGAUAGCAUGAUAAGGCAAGACUGCAGUACCUCAGAAGAACCACGUUCAUAACUCUAACCUCCAACUUGCAUUCAUAAUUCACACUAACACUGUCUUAGUUUUUACCACUAUGAUGAAACACCAUGACCAGGAGCAAGUUGGGAAAGAAAAGAUUUGUUUGGCUUAUACUUCAACAUUACUAUAUUCUAUAUUCCCUCAUCAUUGAGGGAAACCAGGACAGGAACUCCAAGAGGGCAGUGAGGUGGAAAAAUUCUAGUUUCUUUGUGGAAACUCAGUUGUAUCAUGUGAUGUUUUUCUGGAAGCUGUCUUAUGAGAGGAUAUUUUGCUGAAGCAGAUCUGCGAGAGGAUGUUUUCCUGAGGCUGACACUUGAGAGGAUCCCUGAAAGUGCCUAAGAAUAACCCAACAGUGAGUGAACAAUGCUCUUGUAUUGGUUCAACUUGCAAUGCUUUGCUGGUCUUCACUGACUUCACUAGCCGUGACUUUGUAGAGAGAAAGGCAGCAAAGACCUCAUGAUGUUCUGGCUGCUUCUUGUCACUUUCAAAGAGUUGAGCCAAUUUGGUGGAGUUUUGCAGUUUUUUUUUCUGAAUCAAGCCUCUGGUACUGAUUCAUGUUUGCUGUUUGCUGAUUGGACUGGACUGCUGAUAUCAUCACAAGGAAGACUGGUGUUGUCCCAAACAACUACUUCUAAACAGACCCACAUCCCUCUUGUCUUAUUAACCAUUUCCUCCCCUAACUUUGCUCUUAAAGCAGGUUUUGAAAAAUCUCAGCCUCCAGGGUAGGAAUCAGGAAGCAAGAACUGAUGUAGGGAUGUCCAUGGAGGAUUGCUGAUUAAUAGUUUAUGUGUCAUUGCCUUCUCAGUCUGAUUUCUUACAGAACCCAAGAAAACUAUCCUAGAGAAGACACUCCCCACAGUGCUUUGGGCCUUCUUACAUCAAUCACUAAUUAAGAAAACACCCAAGAAUGUUACUUACAGCCAGGUCUUAUGGAGGCAUUUUCCCAAUUGAGGUUUUAUUCUCUCAGAUGACUCUAGCCUGUGUUAAGUUGACAUAAGUUUUGUCAGCACAAUUAACCUCUUAUCAAACUGACAUACAAGCAUAUCUCUGUUAAGCUGUAAUCCCUCCUUUCUUGUUCACCCACAAGAUAAUGCAUUAAUAUCAACCUUGCAAUACAAACAUUCCAAAAUCAAAAAGUCUCACCAUCUUUAAUGUCAAACAAUAUUAAAAAGUCUCUUCCAAAUAGCCAGUCUCUUUUAAAGCCCAAAGUCUGUAAAACUCCAAGGGAUCUUUUAAAAGUUCAGUCUUCAACUGUUAGCACCCAUAAAAGCAAAAGCAAAUUCAACUGAGUACCUUUCUACUUCAAGGUAAAUGGCACCGCAUAUUAAUUCAUUGAUAGUAAGAUGUAAACAUAGACACCCAGUCUGUCUCUUUGCUGGGCUCUACUCACUACUGCGUUCUCUCUGGGUGAUCCUGGCUCAGAGGCACUGGCUUCCUAGUCAGAUAUGGCGACUCUUAUCAUUUCCACAUGUGUUCUUAGAUCAACUUUUCCCUCCCAUGAUCUCAUCUAGAUCAUUUCUCAACAGUUACCUGAAUAUCACAGUUUUUUUUUUCUAUAUAGUGUCUGCUGGGACUUUCCCAAGAUCAACAGGAUCUAGAAGAUUCCAGAUUUCCUCUAGAAGAUAUGAAUGAGUGAUUUUAGCUCUCAAGAACAUUCCCAAACCAAGAGGACAAGAUCUCUGCAUUCUACAACAUAUAGUUGCUUUAACGUACAUUCCUCAAUAAAAUAUAUAGCUUGG